GAUGAACGCUGGCGGCGUGCCUAAUACAUGCAAGUCGAGCGAACAGACGAGGAGCUUGCUCCUCUGACGUUAGCGACGGACGGGUGAGUAACACGUGGAUAACCUACCUAUAAGACUGGGAUAACUUCGGGAAACCGGAGCUAAUACCGGAUAAUAUAUUGAACCGCAUGGUUCAAUAGUGAAAGACGGUUUUGCUGUCACUUAUAGAUGGAUCCGCGCCGCAUUAGCUAGUUGGUAAGGUAACGGCUUACCAAGGCGACGAUGCGUAGCCGACCUGAGAGGGUGAUCGGCCACACUGGAACUGAGACACGGUCCAGACUCCUACGGGAGGCAGCAGUAGGGAAUCUUCCGCAAUGGGCGAAAGCUUGACGGAGCAACGCCGCGUGAGUGAUGAAGGUCUUCGGAUCGUAAAACUCUGUUAUUAGGGAAGAACAAAUGUGUAAGUAACUAUGCACGUCUUGACGGUACCUAAGCAGAAAGCCACGGCUAACUACGU
rnacentral:rRNA from 1 species